rnacentral:rRNA from 1 species
GGAGUAUGGGCCGUGUCUCAGUCCCAUUGUGGCUGAUCAUCCUCUCAAACCAGCUACUGAUCGUCGCCUUGGUGGUCCAUUACACCGCCAACUAGCUAAUCAGAUGCAGACUCAUCCCAGAGCACCGGAGUUUUCACGAAUAGCAUCUCAGCUACGCGCAUAUGGGGUAUUAAUAGUCGUUUCCAACUGCUAUCCCCCACUCUAGGGCAGAUUCUCUACACAUUACUCACCCGUCCGCCACUUUCCUCUGUAGCAAGCUACAGAUUCUCGUUCGACUUGCAUGUAUGAAGCACGCCGCCAGCGUUGUC